CUAACACCUUCAAAUCCCCAAUCCCUCACCGUUGCUUGAAUUUUCAGGUGUCCUGGAAUGGAGGCCGGAACAAGUUUUGUCACAGCUUUUGACUUAUUGUAGCAUGUACAGCACAGGUCUUGCUUUGCAGAUCAGAAUUCUUGUUAUUUGAAAUGAGAAGGGAGAGAUAAGCGACACCAGAGAUUAUAUAGUACAGAAAGAGCGCUAUUAUUUCUGUAUCAUUGUUAUGUGGAAAACUAGCUUAAGCUUUAGUUAUUAAACUUGGUUGAACUUUUGAUAGGACAUCGAUUCUUAUAAAAUAAAUCAUCAUUGGUAUAUUUAUGAACCUUUUA